rnacentral:rRNA from 1 species
AAAGAUUAAGCCAUGCAUGUCUAAGCACAUGCCUUAAUACGGUGAAGCCGCGAAUAGCUCAUUACAACAGCCACCGUUUACUAGAAAUAGUUAUCCUACUUGGAUAACUCUGGCAAUUCUAGAGCUAAUACAUGCAAUAAAGCUCCGCCCUGCGAAGGAACGAGCGCAUUUAUUAGAAUAAAAACCAAUCGGGUCUCGGCCCGUAAUUUGGUGAAUCUGAAUAACUUUGCCAAUCGCACGGUCCUAGUACCGGCGAUAUAUCUUUCAAGUGUCUGCCUUAUCAACUUUCGUUGGUAGGUUAUACGCCUACCAAGGUAGUAACGGGUAACGGAGAAUAAGGGUUCGACUCCGGAGAGGGAGCCUGAGAAACGGCUACCACAUCCAAGGAAGGCAGCAGGCGCGCAAAUUACCCACUUCCAGAACGGAGAGGUAGUGACGAAAAAUAACGAGACAGUCCUCUUCGAGGUCUGUCAUCGGAAUGGGUACAAUUUAAAUCCUUUAACGAGGAUCUAUUGGAGGGCAAGUCUGGUGCCAGCAGCCGCGGUAAUUCCAGCUCCAAUAGCGUAUAUUAAAGUUGUUGCGGUUAAAACGCUCGUAGUUGGAUCUGCGGCCUCGACGAACGGUCCCCCGAAAGGGUGGUCACUGUCUCGUCUAGCCUAAAUUCGAGUCGUCCCUAGGUGUUCUUAACCGAGUGCCUAGGGUGACCAGAACGUUUACUUUGAAAAAAUUAGAGUGCUUAAAGCAGGCGAAAUAGCCUGAAUAAAAUGCAUGGAAUAAUGGAAUAGGACCUCGGUUCUAUUUUGUUGGUUUUCGGAACCCGAGGUAAUGAUUAAGAGGAACAGACGGGGGCAUUCGUAUUCCGGCGCUAGAGGUGAAAUUCUUGGACCGCCGGAAGACGGACGACUGCGAAAGCAUUUGCCAAGAAUG